UACGAAGGGGGCUAGCGUUGUUCGGAUUUACUGGGCGUAAAGCGCACGUAGGCGGAUAUUUAAGUUAGGGGUGAAAUCCCAGGGCUCAACCCUGGAACUGCCUCUAAUACUGGGUAUCUAGAGUCCGAGAGAGGUGAGUGGAAUUCCGAGUGUAGAGGUGAAAUUCGUAGAUAUUCGGAGGAACACCAGUGGCGAAGGCAGCUCUCUGGGUCCCUACCGAGCUGGGGUGCGAAAGCGUGGGGAGCAAACAGG
rnacentral:rRNA from 1 species